rnacentral:rRNA from 1 species
GAUGAACGCUGGCGGCGUGCUUAACACAUGCAAGUCGAACGGAAAGGCUCCUGCUUGCAGGGGUACUCGAGUGGCGAACGGGUGAGUAACACGUGGGUGAUCUGCCCUGCACUUCGGGAUAAGCCUGGGAAACUAGGUCUAAUACCGGAUAGGACGAUGGUUUGGAUGCCAUUGUGGAAAGUUUUUCGGUGUGGGAUGAGCUCGCGGCCUAUCAGCUUGUUGGUGGGGUAAUGGCCUACCAAGGCGUCGACGGGUAGCCGGCCUGAGAGGGUGUACGGCCACAUUGGGACUGAGAUACGGCCCAGACUCCUACGGGAGGCAGCAGUGGGGAAUAUUGCACAAUGGGCGCAAGCCUGAUGCAGCGACGCCGCGUGGGGGAUGACGGCCUUCGGGUUGUAAACUUCUUUCGCUAGGGACGAAGCGCAAGUGACGGUACCUGGAGAAGAAGCACCGGCUAACUACGUG